rnacentral:rRNA from 1 species
UACAGAGACUGCAAGCGUUAUUCGGAUUCACUGGGCGUAAAGGGUGCGCAGGCGGUUGUGUGUGUCAGGGGUGAAAGCCCGGGGCUUAACCCCGGAAUUGCGCCUGAAACUACAUGACUAGAGCAUUGGAGAGGGUAGCGGAAUUCACGGUGUAGCAGUGAAAUGCGUAGAUAUCGUGAGGAACACCAGAGGCGAAGGCGGCUACCUGGACAAUUGCUGACGCUCAGGCACGAAAGCGUGGGGAGCAAAAGGG